AACCUGCUUGGCGCCACUGACCUGGUGAGGAGGCUUCUUUAAGGCCGUGGACGGUUCCUACCCGCGCGCGGAGAGGACCGACGUGAAGAAGCUGCCAAAGUAUAACAAGUACUACGCGAAGGGUAGGUAGGGUGGAGUCCCAGGCAGCGCGUGACGGCCGGAUGCCCAGACGCGCACGUCGCCCGCAGGCGCACGCCUGGACCCGGGGGAGCCGGCUGGGGCGCCCAGGACCAGGCCUAGCCUACCGCGGGCUGCCCUUCACAGAGCUGCAGGAGAAAACGUUGUAUUGUGCACGCAUUCCCUAACCCUUACUAGUUUUUUUUUUUUUAAUUGAUCGGCCAGCUUUUGAUGCGGGUAUGUUAAAAUCUCCCACUGUUAUUGGGAUUAUGCCAGUUUUUUUUUUUCUUGCAUUUCUGUCUACUUAUGUGAUACAACACUUGGGGUUAUGUUUUCAGACGCCCAAGUACCCUCCUGGUCCACAGCCAGAAUUAAAAUGAGGCACGAGCCUCAGGUGCAGAAUUUAAGGGACCGCCAAAAGAACUCCGUAAUGAAGAUAAGCAAUAUUUGGAUGCAAUAUUUUUAAAAAUAAAAAUUAAUGCAAAAAAGUCUAUGAUUAGUAAAAUGCUGCAAUUUUAAAUAAAAACAAAAUCUGACUGCAUUUUCACGCCUCGAUCAUCUCUCUUGCCUCACAGGAGUCUGGGCCCUAGAGAUAGCUUUUCUGUGAAGUGAACUUUUUUAUCUUUCGGUUAAGAUUCCUCUAUUUCUACUAUAACUUUUUGCUUAAAUCAUAUUUUUCUGUUAUUGACAUUGCUACACUAAUCUUUUGGUUUGUAUUCAUUUAUUCUCUCUUUUUUUUGCGUUUUUAAAUCCUUUUUCUUUGCUUUUUAUUCUUUCUGUUGGAAAGGUAUUUUCUGUAUUUCCUUUAUUAAUAUUUUUCUACUAAAAAUUUAGGCAGAGUUGGGUCAAGAAAAAGCUCCCUUGGGAAAAAUGUCUACAAUAUCUAGUACCGACAUGUUUCUUUUUGAAUCGUAGAAGUGUGUUAUUUUACUAAUUCAAGUGAUUGUCACAUCAGUAAAAUUCUAGAAGCAUUUAUAGGGUGCUGCCUGCAUUGUAUCAGUCUUUGUAACAGACACCGAGUAUAUAAGAAUUAAUAAGUCAUAGUACCUGCCCUCAGGGCGCCUACAAUUAGCAAUUAGCAGACUUUUUUUUCUUUUUUUCCUUAGAUAAGAUCUUGCUCUGUCACCCAAGCUGGAGUGCUGGAGUGCAGUAGUACAAACACAGCUAACUGCAGCCUUCACCUCCUGGCGUCAAGUGAUCCUCUUGCCUCAGCCUCCCGUGUUGCUGGGACCACCGGUGCACACCACCAUGCCUACCUAAUUUCUUUAUUUUUUUGUAGAGAUGGGACCUCACUUUGUGCCCAGGCAGAGCAGACAUUUUUCUAACAUUGUCUCAUUGGACCUCUCUGCUGUAUUUAACACUUACCCAUUCCUUCCUUGAAAAUUUCCAUAUUCCUAGUUACUAGUCUCUUCUAAUAUUCUGAAUAAUGAGAAAUUACAGCUGGGCACAGUGGCUCAUGCCUGUAAUCCCAGCACUUUGGGAGGCCAAGGCAGGAGGAUCACGAGGUCAGAAGUUCAAGACCAGCCUGGCCAAGAUGGUGAAACCCCAUCUCUACUAAAAAUACAAAAAAAUUAGCCGGGCAUGGUGGCAGACGCCAGUAAUUCCAGUUACUCAGGAGGCUGAGACAGAGAAUUGCUUGAACCCGGGAGGUGGAGGUUGCAGUGAGCCGAGAUUGUGCCACUGCACUCCAGCCUGGGCGACAGAGAGGGACUCCAUCUCAAAAAAAAAGAAGAGAAAUUACUUUCUCUGCCUCUUGAAUGCGUCCUCCUUUGCCCUCUCCUCAAUAGUUAGCAUUCUGAAAGUGCCAUCCCUAACCUACUGCUCUUUUCUUUCCACAUCUCAUGUUUAAAAUUUUUACUAUGUCAGUAACUUCAAAAUGUGUUUUUUUAGCUCUACCCAAAUAUUCUGAUGUGUAUCCACCUGCCAUUGAAUAUGCACUUGGAUAUCCCACAGGCACCCCAAACUCAACAGAGCCGCAACUGAAGACAUCAUCUCCUGCCACUUUAAAUCUACUGUUUUCCUUUUCUCAUCUCGUUUAAUCACUUUGUACUGUUAUCCAAGUGUAAUUCCAUCUUCUGCACUCCCAUGGCCAGUCAAACUCCUGUAGAUUGUAUUUUCCUUAACACUUUUCAGAUCUGUCUCCUCUUUCUCCUUGUUACCACUCUUAGUUCAGGACCUUAUUAAUUGACUUCUGGACUGCUGAACCUCUCAGUUGUCUACUUUCUUCCAAUUUUGUCAUUUCCCCAUUUGAAUCUGAGGUCCCACAGUACCUUGUGCUUUCCUAUAUCUUAGUCUUUACCAUGUAUGACAUUAAGAGUCUAUAUGACUGUCUUUUGACUGUAAGCUCCCACAGGGCAUCUUUGUAACCCCCCACCACAUAGCACAUUGUCUGGUAUUAGUGCUAAAAAAGUUUCUUGGACUGAACUAAGCUCCGAUCUUAUCAGUGUUUCAUUUUUAUCUUGUUUUAAGGCUUUUAAUGUCCAAAAUAUUUUUGCUUUUUUUCUAGGAAUAGUAUUUUCAGUUUUUGGUCAAGCUCUUAUGUCCCAAAUUAUCUACAAUUACACAGUGCUUUUCAUAGGUACCAUCCCUGCACAUUGAAGUAAUAAGGGGUCAGUCAAUAUGAUAAAUCAUUUGUUCACUAUAUGUAAUAUUGUAAAGAUGUUUUUAGUAUCUGAUCAAAAGCAUUCCUAUUUGUCUUAUUAUGGUGUUAUUUCUUUUCUUUUUUUUUUUUUUGGGAGACCGUCUUGUUCUGUUGCCCAGGCUGGAGCGCAAUGGUGUGAUCACGGCUCACCGCAGCCUUGAAUGCCCAGGCUCAAGUGAUCCUCCUGCCUUAGCUGCCCAAGUAGCUCGGACUACAGGUGCACCCCACUAUGCCUGGCUAAUUUUUAAAAUUUUUUGCAGAAACAGGGUGUUGUAUGUUACCCAGGCUGGUCUCAAACUCCUAGCCUCAAGCAAUCCUCCCACCUCAGCCUCCCAAAGUGCUAGGAUUAUAGGCAUGAGCCACUGCACCUGGCCUUAUUCUGGUGUUAUUUCUAUUAGUUUUGGAUUAUUGUCAUUAUUAUUCCCAGUAUUAAGUGUAUGGAUGAUUUUCCAGGAAUGUGAGUCCCUGUUUUGGUUCUGUCUAUGAUACAGUUUUAGUCACUAGAGGGCUGUAAAGAUCUCUUAGUGCUCAAGAACUGUUGGCACUACACAUCAAAUUUGUGAUACAAAAGUUAGAUUCUGGGUUUUGUUAUUGUUGGAGAGUGGGGUCUCACUCUAUUGCUCAGGCAGGUCUCGAACUCCUGGACUCAGGCUAUCCUCCCACCUUUGUCUCCCCAAGUGCUGGAUUACAGGCGUGAUCCACUGCGCCUGGCAGAUUUUGGGUUUUCAGGAAAGGAUCUUGCUAUUGUAGAGACGUGAACAGCUUCCUCUUACUUGGAUGUGUUGUAUAGGAUCUCACUACUCAAAGUGUGGCUCCCAGAGCCACAACAAUGGCAUCACCUGGGAGCUGAUUAGAAAUGCAAUUUGAAAGGCACUGGUACUAUAUAUAGAACACAGCAAAAUAGAAACAGAGUAAAGAAAGGCACAUGCAAUUAUUGGAGAAAGGAUUUGCAGACUAAAGAUAAAAAUGAUAUAAAAGAUUCACUUAGCUGCUAGCAGUGUCUCAAGACUGAGUGCAAUUUAAGAAGGGCAGGCUGGGUGUGGUGGCUCACGCCUGUAAUCCCAGCACUUUGGGAGGCCGAGGUGGGCAGAUCAUGGUGUCAGGAGUUCGAGACAGCCUGACUAACAUGGUGAAACCCCGUCUCUACUAAAAAUACAAAAAAUUAACCGGGCGUGGUGGCAGGUGCUUGUAAUCCCAGCUACUCAGGAGGCUGAGACAGGAGAAUCACUUGAACCUGGGAGGCAGAGGUUGCAGUGAGCAGAGACCACGCCACUGCACUCCAGUGUGGGCAACAGAGCAAGACUCCGUCUCAAAAAAAAAAAAAAGAAAAAGAAAAAAAAGGCAACACAUAAUGUUCAGAAUGUGGUUAGAACACAUCUCUCCAUUCUUGUGGACCUCACACCUUAAUGUAGCCAGAUCAUGCAGUGGGUGCCAACAGAUGACCACUGCUGUCACUAAGUGGGCAGGUAGGACUCACUAAUCCAUGAUAUAUGGAACUGCUAUUCCCAAAUAAAGUCCUGCCAGGUACUUUUUGGAACCCUGGGAUAAUGUUUGGGGGCAUGGAGAGUGGAUGGGGAUUUUUCUUUGCUUUAACAUGAUACAGACACUAGAGUGGUCAGGGGAUAGUCUUGAAGGGGUUUGGAUAAUUGUGUGCCAUAAAAACAUCCUGAGAGGCUUUGUAGCAUGGUACUUAAGCAUGUGGAGACUACCAGGUUUAAAUUAUCCUUCUGCUAGUUACUAGCUGACCUUGGGUGAGUUAACUCUCUGUAUCUCAAUCCUUUUUUCUGUAAUAUGGGGGUGGUCCUAGCAUCUACCUCAGGGUUAUUGUGAAGAUUGCAUGAGUUUGUACAUUUAAGUGCUUAGAACAGGAGUGACAAACAACACUCAAUAAAUGGAAACAAAAAGGACAUAUGUGGGCCAAUAUGCAGUACAGUCCCUGGCUCAUAGUAAGUAUACAGGUGCCCAUUAAAUGUUUGUGGAAUGUGCCACUUGUUUAUUUAUUUUCCCUCAGUUUCAAACUCACCCUUAAUUUCCUGUUCUAUGAAAUUGAGAUGGGCCCUUAAAUAUUUUUCCUUGGCUAGCUGGAACGUUGUUAAACUUUAUCUACAGAAGAUAUUGAAGGGACAUUGCAGGAAGAGGGGGUUUUCCUUCCUGGCUCCAGGGUUCUCUCAUCAGGUUCCUGUAGACCCAGCUUCUGCAGUGCUUUAGCUUCAGUGCAUGGCAACUAGCAGCACCCCUACAGGCAGGUUUGUAGCCCAGCAUGUCCAGUGAGAUGCUUCCCUGUGAAGGACUUUCCCCUGCAAACUAGAAGGUGGAUAUCCAGCAUGUUCUGCCAGUACAGACAGGUGACUUUUCUGCCAUUUGUUGAGCCAUGGCUGGAUCUCAGCUGGGGAGGGUAAGGGUGCAGGAAUUCUUCCUUGAGUGAUUUGUUUUAGCCCUUGGAAUAUCUGCUUUUCCUACAUUCCUUAAAAUUCUCUUUCUUUCUAGCCUAUCUCUUGUUAUAGUUAAUAAUUUGUUCAUAUUAAACUUUCAAAUUAUCUGGUUUCUGUCUCCUAAUAGGACCUUGAUUAAUAUUAAUAAUAAAUGAAUAAAUGAAACAUUAACAUUCCCAAUUGUUCUGGGAAGUUUAAAUGUUUUAUGUAAGAUGAAGAUGCAGAUUUUCAGAAUUAACUUUUUGUGUUGAAUAGAUAUACUGUUAUCUAUGAUUAAAAUAUGUGUUAAGACAAUAUGUAGAUUGUGAUCCUGUUUCUGUUCUAAAAAAUUGGUGUGUGCCGGUUCCAAGAUGGCCGAAUAGGAACAGCUCCAGUCUACAGCUCCCAGCGUGAGCAACACAGAAAACGGGUGAUUUCUGCAUUUCCAACUGAGGUACUGGGACCAUCUCACUGUGGCUUGUCAGACAGUGGGUGCAGUCCAUGGAGCGUGAGCUGAAGCAGGGCAGGGCGUUGUCUCACCCAGGAAGUGCAAGGGGUCGGGGAAUUCCCUUUCCUAGCCAAGGGAAGCCGUGACAGACAGUACCUGGAAAAUCGGGACACUCCCACCCUAAUACUGCGCUUUUCCAAUGGUCUUAGCAAACGGCACACCAGAAGAUUAUAUCCCAUGCCUGGCUUGGAGGGUCCCACACCCACAGAGCCUCGCUCACUGCUAGCACAGCGGUCUGAGAUUGAACAGCAAGGCGGCAGUGAGGCUGGGGGAAGGGCGUCUGCCAUUGCUGAGGCUUGAAUAGGUAAACAAAAUGGCCAGGAAGCUCGAACUGGGUGGAGCCCACUGCAGCUCAAGGAGGCCUGCCUGCCUCUGUAGACUCCACCUCUGGGAACAGGGCAUAGUUGAACAAAAGGCAGCAGAAACUUCUGCAGACUUAAACGUCCCUAUCUGGCAGCUUUGAAGAGAGUAGUGGUUCUACCAGCAUGGAGUUUGAGAUCUGAGAAUGGACAGAUUGCAUCCUCAAGUGGGUCCCUGACCCCUGAGUAGCCUAACUGGGAGACUCCUCCCAGUAGGGGCCGACUGACACCUCAUACAGCCGGGUGACCCUCUGAGAUGAAGCUUGCAGAGGAAGGAUCAGGCAGCAACAUUUGCCAUUCUGCAAUAUUUGCUGUUCUGCAGCCUCCGCUGGUGAUAUCCAGGCAAACAGGGUCUGGAGUGGACCUCCAGCAAACUCCAACAGACCUGCAGCUGAGGGUCCUGACUGUCAGAAGGAAAACUAACAAACAGAAAGGACAUCCACACCAAAACCCCAUCUGUACGUCACCAUCAUCAAAGACCAAAGGUAGACAAAACCACAAAAAUGGAGAAAAAACAGAGCAGAAAAACUGACAAAUCUAAAAAUCAGAGUGCCUUUCCUCCUCCAAAGGAACGCAGCUCCUCACCAGCAAUGGAACAAAGCUGGAUGGAAAAUGACUUUGACAAGUUGAGAGAAGAAGGCUUCAGAUGAUCAAACUACUCCGAGCUAAAGGAGGAAGUUCGAACCCAUGGCAAAGAAGUUAAAAACCUUGAAAAAAGAUUAGAUGAAUGGCUAACUAUAAUAACCAAUGCAGAGAAGUCCUUAAAGGACCUGAUGGAGCUGAAAACCACAGCACGAGAACUACGUGACGAAUGCAGAAGCCUCAGUAGCCGAUUCGACCAACUGGAAGGAAGGGUAUGGUGAUGGAAGAUGAAAUGAAUGAAAUGAAGUGAGAAGAGAAGUUUAGAGAAAAAAGAAUAAAAAGAAAUGAACAAAGCCUCCAAGAAAUAUGGGACUAUGUGAAAAGACCAAAUCUACGUCUGAUUGGUGUAUCUGAAAGUGACGGGGAGAAUGGAACCAAGUUGGAAAACACUCUUCAGGAUAUCAUCCAGGAGAACUUCCCCAACCUAGCAAGGCAGGCCAACAUUCAAAUUCAGGAAAUACAGAGAAUGCCACAAAAUACUCCUCAAGAAGAGCAACUCUGAGACACAUAAUUGUCAGAUUCACCAAAGUUGAAAUGAAGGAAAAAAUGUUAAGGGCAGCCAGAGAGAAAGGUCGGGUUACCCACAAAGGGAAGCCCAUCAGACUAACAGCUGAUCCCUCAGCAGAAACUCUACAAGCCAGAAGAGAGUAGGGGCCAAUAUUCAACAUUCUUAAAGAAAAGAAUUUUCAACUCAGAAUCUCAUAUCCACCCAAACUAAGCUUCAUAAGUGAAGGAGAAAUAAACCCCUUUACAGACAAGCAAAUGCUGAGAGAUUUUGUCACCACCAGGCCUGUCUUACAAGAGCUCCUGAAGGGAGCACUAAACAUGGAAAGAAAGAACCAGUACCAGCCACUGCAAAAACAUGCCAAAUUGUAAAGACCAUCGAUGCUAGGAAGAAACUGCAUCAACUAACGGGCAAAAUAACCAGCUAGCAUCAUAAUGACAGGAUGAAAAUCACACAUAACAAUAUUAACCUUAAAUGUAAUUGGGCUAAAUGCUCCAAUUAAAAGACACAGACUGGCAAACUGGAUAAAGAGUCAAGACCCAUCAGUGUGCGCUGCAUUCAGGAGACCCAUCUCAAGUGCAGGGACACACACAGGCUCAAAAUAAAGGGAUGAAGGAAGAUCUACCAAGCAAAUGGAAAACAAAAAAAACAGGGUUGCAAUCCUAGUCUCUGAUAAGACAGACUUUAAACCAACAAAGAUCAAAAGAGACAAAGAAGGCCAUUACAUAACGGUAAAGGUAUCAAUUCAACAAGAAGAGCUAACUAUCCUAAAUACAUAUGCACCCAAUACAGGAGCACCCAGAUUCAUAAAGCAAGCUCUUAGAGACCUACAAAGAGACUUAGACUCCCACACAAUAAUGGGAGACUUUAACACCCCACUGUCAACAUUAGACAAAUCAACAAGACAGAAAGUUAACAAAGAUAUCCAGGAAUUGAACACAGAUGUGCACCAAGCAGACCUAAUAGACAUCUACAGAACUCUCCACCCCAAAUCAACAGAAUAUACGUUCUUCUUAGCAUCACAUUGCACUUAUUCCAAAAUAGUUGGAAGUAAAGCACUGCUCUGCAAAUGUAAAAGAACAGAAAUUAUAACAAACUGUCUCUCAGACCACAUGCAAUCAAACUAGAACUCAGGAUUAAGAAACUCACUCAAAACUGCUUAACUACAUGGAAACUGAACAACCUGCUCAUGAAUGACUACUGGGUACAUAACAAAAUGAAGGCAGAAAUAAAGAUGUUCUUUGAAACCAAUGAGAACAAAGACAUAACAUACCAGAAUCUCUGGGACACAUUUUAAGCAGUGUGUAGGGGGAAAUUUAUAGCACUACAUGUGAACAAGAGAAAGCAGGAAAGAUCUAAAAUUGACACCCUAACAUCACAAUUAAAAGAACUAGAGAAGCAAGAGCAAACACAUUCAAAAGCCUACAGGAGUCUAGAAAUAACUAAGAUCAGAGCAGAACUGGAGGAGAUAGACAAACAAAAAACCAUUCAAAAAAUCAAUGAAUCCAGGAGCUGGUUUUUUGAAAAGAUCAACAAAAUUGAUAGACCACUAGCAAGACUAAUAAAUAAGAAAAGAGACAAGAAUCAAAUAGACGCAAUAAAAAAUGAUAAGGAGAAUAUCACCACCAAUCCCACAGAAAUACAAACUACCAUCAGAGAAUACUAUAAACACCUCUAUGCAAAUAAGCUAGAAAAUCUAGAAGAAAUGGAUAAAUUCCUGGACACAUACACCCUCCCAAGACUAAACCAGGAAGAAGCUGAAUCCCUGAAUAGACCAAUAACAGGCUCUGAAAUUGAGGCAAUAAUUAAUAGCCUACCAACCAAAAAAAGUCCAGGACCAGAUGGAUUCACAGCUGAAUUCUACCAGAGGUACAAGAAGGAGCUGGUACCAUUCCUUCUAAAACUAUUCCAAUCAAUAGAAAAAGAGGGAAUCCUCCCUAACUCAUUUUAUGAGGCCAGCAUCAUCCUGAUACCAAAGCCUGACAGAGACACAACAAAAAAAGAGAAUUUUAGACCAAUAUCCUUGAUGAACAUCGAUGCAAAAAUCCUCAAUAAAACACUCACAAACCAAAUCCAGCAGUACAUCAAAAAGCUUAUCCACCAUGAUCAAGUGGGCUUCAUCCCUGGGAUGCAAGGCUGGUUCAACAUACACAAAUCAAUAAACGUAAUCUAGCAUAUAAACAGAACCAAUGACAAAAACCACAUGAUUAUCUCAAUAGAUGCAGAAAAGGCCUUUGACAAAAUUCAACAACUCUUCAUGCUAAAAACUCUCAAUAAAUUAGGUAUUGAUGGGACGUAUCUCCAAAUAAUCAGAGCUAUUUAUGACAAACCCACAGCCAAUAUCAUACGGAAUGGGCAAAAACUGGAAGCAUUCCCUUUGAAAACUGGCACAAGACAGGGAUGCCCUCUCUCACCUUCCUAUUCAUCAUAGUGUUGGAAGUUCUGGCCAGGGCAAUUAGGCAGGAGAAAGAAAGGAUAUUCAAUUAGGAAAAGAGGAAGUCAAAAUGUCCCUGUCUGCAGACGACAUGAUUGUAUAUUUAGAAAACCCCAUUGUCUCAGCCCCAAAUCUCCUUAAGCUGAUAAGCAACUUCAGCAGUCUCAGGAUACAAAAUCAAUGUGCAAAAAUCACAAGCAUUCCUAUACACCAAUAACAGACAAACAGAGAGCCAAAUCAUGAGUGAACUCCCAUUCACAAUUGCCUCAAAGAGAACAAAAUACCUUGAAAUCCAACUUACAAGGGAUGUGAAGGACCUCUUCAAAGAGAACUACAAACCACUGCUCAAUGAAAUAAAAGAGGAUACAAAGAAAUGGAAGAACAUUCCAUGCUCAUGGAUAUGAAGAAUCAAUAUCAUGAAAAUGGCCAUACUGCCCAAGGUAAUUUAUAGAUUCAGUGCCAUCCCCAUGAAGCUACCAGUGACUUUCUUCACAGAAUUGGAAAAAUCUACUUUAAACUUCAUAUGGAACCAAAAAGGAGCCCACGUUGCCAAGACAAUCCUAAGCAAAACAGAACAAAGCUGGAGGCAUCACACUACCUGACUUCAAACUAUACUACAAGGCUACAGUAGCCAAAACAGCAUGGUACUAGUACCAAAACAGAGAUAUAGGCCAAUGGAACAGAACAGAGUCCUCGGAAAUAAUACCACACAUCUACAACCAUCUGAUCUUUGACAAACCUGACAAAAAUAAGAAAUGGGGAAAGGAUUCCCUAUUUAAUAAAUGGUGCUGGGAAAACUGGCUAGCCAUAUGUAGAAAGCUGAAACUGGAUCCCUUCCUUACACCUUAUACAAAAAUUAAUUCAAGAUGGAUUAAAGACUUAAGUGUUAGACCAAAAACCAUGAAAACCCUAGAAGAAAGCCUAUGCAAUACCAUACAUGCCAUAGGCAUGGGCAAGGACUUCAUGACUAAAACACCAAAAGCAAUGGCAACAAUAGCCAAAAUUGACAAAUGGGAUCUAAUUAAACCAAAGAACUUGUGCACAGCAAAAGAAAAUACCAUCAGAGUGAACAGGCAACCUACAGAAUGGGAGAAAAAUUUUUACAAUCUAUCCAUCUGACAAAGGGCUAAUAUCCAGAAUCUACAAAGAACUUAAACAAAUUUACAAGAAAAAAUCAACCCCAUCAAAAAGUGGGUGAAGGAUAUGAACAGACAUUUCUGAAAAGAAGACAUUUAUGCAGCCAACAGACCAUGAAAAAAUGCUCAUCAUCACUGGCCAUCAGAGAAAUGCAAAUCAAAACCACAAUGAGAUACCAUCUCACACCAGUUAGAAUGGCAAUCAUUCAAAAGUCAGGAAACAACAGGUGCUGGAGAGGAUGUGGAGAAAUAGGAACACUUUUACACUGUUAGUGGGACUCUAAACUAGUUCAACAAUUGUGGAAGACAGUGUGGUGAUUUCUCAAGGAUCUAGAACUAGAAAUACUAUUUGACCAGCCAUCCCAUUACUGGGCAUUUACCCAAAGGAUUAUAAAUCAUGCUGCUAUAAAGACACAUGCACAUGUAUGUUUAUUGCAGCACUAUUCACAAUAGCAAAGACUUGGAACCAACCCACAUGUCCAUCAAUGAUAGACUGGAUUAAGAAAAUGUGGCACAUAUACACCAUGGAAUACUAGGCAGCCAUAAAAAAGGAUGAGUUCAUGUCCUUUGUAGGGACAUGGAUGAUGCUGGAAACCAUCAUUCUGAGCAAACUAUUGCAAGGACAGAAAACCAAACACCGCAUGUUCUCAUUCAUAGGUGGGAAUUGAACAGUGAGAACACUUGGACCCAGGGUGGGGAACAUCACACACCAGGGCCUGUCGUAAGGUGGGGGGAGCGGGGAGGGAUAGCGUUAGGAGAUAUACUUAUUGUAAAUGAUGAGUUAAUGGGUGCAGCACACCUACAUGGCACAUGUAUACAUAUGUAACAAACCUGCACAUUGUGCACAUGUACCCUAGACCUUUAAGUAUAAUAAAAAAAAAUUGGUGUGGA
rnacentral:lncRNA from 1 species